GGGUCUUUAGCUCAGCGGUAGAGCGGCAGACUUCGGCUUGGUUCUGAAGUGUUCCUGAUUCCAUCUGGUCUUCUGCAGGUCGCGGGUUCAAUCCCCGUAGGACUCU
rnacentral:tRNA from 1 species